AACGUCUGUCGCCGAUCUCUCCCUCCCCUGGAGUGAUCCCCCGGAGCGAACGCCCCCUCCCCAGGGCACGCUCCACCAGCCCCGCCGGCCCCCCCUGCCUGCGGGGCUUUUUA
rfam:Lysobacter capsici AZ78 unitig_0_1_merged, whole genome shotgun sequence.